GAAGUAAUUUGAUUUAGACCCAGGUAAAAGUGAAUUCAAUGUUCAUCUUUAUGGGCUCAUUCUGAUCUGCUGCUGGUUUUAUCUUACCUGUAUUUUCUGUAACCGAGUUCCAAGACUCUCCAAAUUUCCUCAAUCAGGGACCAGAUUCUGCUGAACGACUCCUGCAGGAGGUGUCAAAGUGUGUGAAUUAGAGGAAUUAAGUCAGAAAUGAGUGCAGGCAAACUUUCAGACGCUUGGAGGUUUAAUCCUUUAAAAGGUGUCUUGAAGAGGUGAUGGGACUUCCAUCUCACUUUGUCUGCUGUGUCUUCAUGGUCUGGACUCGGCCUCCUACACAUCUAACCUUGGCCUGUAUGAUUUAGUUUGCCCUCCUCUUCAGAUCUCACAAUGGUAAUCCAUCAGUGUUGUUGUGUUUCAAUGAACGGAUACAAAGGUCCCGAGCAGCAUACUGUGAAUAAUUUGCAGAAGCCCAUUCACUACAAAAGUUCCCUUUCUAUAGAACAACCGACUGUUUUCAGAUGACUCCUAUUCUCUGUUUCCAAACAGAGUAUAUUAAGAUAUUAAGUAUACAGUUGCAUUAAAAUGCAAUAAAAACCUUUCUG